rnacentral:rRNA from 1 species
UUCCUUCUUAAUGACUAUUUGUUUAUUUCAAAAUAUAAAGAAUGGAUUAGAAAUAAUAAAGUAAGUUUAUACUUAGUAUUUUUGUUACUUAACUGCAUAUAAGAAUAGGCUAGGGAAAAAAUUGCCAACCAUAGAAAUCGUACUUCAUUAAGGAUGUAAAUAAGUGUACAUUAUGAGUGUAGGUGAUUUUCUUAAAGGCUCAUUAGAGUCAAAAGUGUAUGCAAUUUAUUUAAAGUUUCAUAAGAGUCGUAACAUAUAUAGUACUCAGUAUUACCGAGUAUGUAUAAGUAUAACAUAUAUUACUCCGUGUAUAAGGCCCCGUUCUCUUCACCUUAUUUUUGCUGAACUAAUAUUAUUUUUACUGAAAUAAAAUUAUAUUUGCUGAACUUAAAUUAUUUUUACUGAACUUAAAUUAAUUUUACUGAACUGAAAUUAUUAUUGCUGAACUGAAAUUAUUUUUUUUACUGAUUUUCUAUUAUAAUUCUUCUUUAAGAAAACUGAAUUUAACUGAACUGAACUUAUUUUUACUGAACUGAAAUUAUUUUUACUAAACUGAAUUUAAUUUUACUGAACUGAACUUAUUUUUACUGAACUGAAAUUAUUUUAAAUUAAUAUUUGAGGUGAAGAGAAUAGGGCCUAAGAUCAACAAGGAGAGUUACAAUAACAUCUCUAUUUAUCGAUCACUUCUCGUUGGAGUUUCGAUGCAUAAACCCUUGUAUGAUUUUUAUUUUUCCAGCAAUUUUCUCCACAAGUAGCAAGAGUGCAAUCUAGUUUGUUAUCAUAAGAAGUUGAGCAUAUUUUUUGUGCGUUAUUCUUCAUAAUUCUUGCAUGCCAAAAUAAUAGUAAGAAACAAUACUACUACGAAUAUAAGAAAAUAUUGGUCGAAUAAGUGAGCAAAAAAAUACAAAUAAAAUUCACCCUCGAGUCAACCUUACGUUUAUACGAAAACAAGAUGCGGGUUAUCUAGCUCUUUCACAAUGUCGUAAUUAAUAAUAAGAUAAAUGAACAUUUAUUUAGAAGAUAAGGUAGAGUACGUGUGUAUAAACUAGAGGUAAUAAAAAAUUGGGCCGAGCCGGGCCUUAACACAAUUUCUCGUGCCAAAUCCGUAAAAUGCGUUUUUAUGCUUGUCCAAACCCGCCCUAUUUUCAGGGCGGAUCGGGCUGGACUAGCGGGCCGGGCCAAUGUUGAUCACCUCUAGUAUAACCUAAGAAAAUAAGGACAAAAUUUAACCAUUUUUUCGAGUAUGUGUAACCAUUUUUAAUAAGAUAACCAAAGAAGGCGAAAGAUGGAAUUAAAUUUACCUUGAGACAUAAAGACAAGAAUUAGUAUUAGAGAAAAAGAGACUACUGUUUACCUGUGAACAACCCUGGUCGAUGGAACAAUGUAGGCAAAGGAAGUUGAAUGGAUUCGUACCUUCGGGAAAAAGGAUUGGCUCUGAGGGCUAGGCACAGGGAUCCCAGUUCCGAACCCGUCGGUUGUCGACGGAUUGCUCGAGAUUCUUCCAUGACGACAUCGGAUCGUCACGUGCCGGCUUGGGGACAGAUUGGGAAUGGUCUCUUCGGGGGCCUUCUCCGGGUGUCGAACAAUCAACUCAGAACUAGUACGGACAAGGAUCCAACUGUUUAAUUGAAACAAAGCAUUGCGAUGGUCUCUGCGGAUGUUAAUGCUAUGUGAUUUCUGUCUAGUGCUCUGAAUGUCAAAGUGAAGUAAUUCAACCAAGUGCAGGUAAACGGCGGGAGUAACUAUGACUCUCUUAAAGUAGCCAAAUGCCUUGUCAUCUAAAUAGUGACACACAUGAAUGGAUUAACGAGAUUCCCACUGUCCCUGUCUACUAUCCAGCGAAACCACAGCCAAGGGAACGGGCUUGGCAGAAUCAGCGGGGAAAGAAGACCCUGUUGAGCUUAACUCUAGUCCAAAUUUGUCAAAUGACUUGAGAGGUGUAGGAUAAGUGACAGCUUCAUCGCAAGUGAAAUACCACUACUUUUAACGUUAUUUUACUUACUCCGUGAGUCGAAAGUGGGGCAACACUCUUCCUUUCAGACGUAAGGUUCGCUUUGCGGGCCAAUCCGGGCGAAAGACAUUGUCAGGUGGGGAGUUUGAAUGGGGUGGCACAUCUGUUAAAAGAUAACGCGGGUGUCCUAAGAUGAGCUCAACCAGAACAAAAUCUCGUGUGGAAAAUAAGGGUAAAGCUCGUUUGAUUCUGAUUUUUUGUACGAAUACGAAUCGUGAAAGCGCGGCCUAAACUAUCCUUUAGACCUUUUGAAUUUAAAGCUAAAGGUGUAAGAAAAGUUACCAUAGGGAUAACUGGCUUGUAGCAGCCAUGCGUUCAUAGCGACAUUGCUUUUUGAUCCUUCAAUGUCAGCUCUUCCUAUCAUUGUGAAGUAGAAUUCACCAAGUGUUGGAUUAUUCACCCACCAAUAGGGAACGUGAGCUGGGUUGUAGACCGUUAUGAUAUAGUUAGUUUUACCAUACUGAUGACAGUAUCGCAAUGGUAAUUCAAACUAGUAGAGAGGAACCGUUGAUUCACACAAUUGGUCAUCGCGCUUGGUUGAAAAACUAGUGGCGCGAAGCUACCGUGUGCUGGAUUAUGACUUGUCUUCUAAGUCGGAAUCCGGGCUAGAAGCGACGCAUACGCUAGCCGGCCUGAUUGCUGUCCUAUAAUCGUGGCUUCGUCCCCAAGGGCACGUGUCGUAGGCUAAGCUCAUGCGAUGGAUGCGCCCCGUGAAAGUUUCUUGAAGCAUAAUUUCCACCGAGCGGCGGGUUGAAUCCUUUGCAAACAACUUAAAUAUGAGAUGG